GACCCUGACGAGGACCUGGAGGCCAGCAGCCGCUCGUCGUCACGAGACCACACCUGCCAGAGGGACGAGAAGUUCAACCCGCGCACCAGGAAGUUCUCAGAGGACGAGCUACGGCCGCAGCCUAUAGUGAAGAAGAGCAGGAAGCAGCUGGUGCCGCCGG
rnacentral:lncRNA from 1 species